ensembl:misc_RNA
CCCUCGUGAUGAACUGUGCCUAUCAGUUGCAUGGAGCUUCAUUCAAGAAUUUUCUGAGCCUGAUGGAUGUACAACAAUACUCAACCACCUGGUGAA